rnacentral:tRNA from 1 species
GAGGGAGUAGCUCAGUUGGUUAGAGCGCCGGAUUGUGGUUCCGGAAGUCGGGGGUUCGAGUCCCCUUUCCCUCCCCA